rnacentral:rRNA from 1 species
GACGAACGCUGGCGGCGUGCUUAACACAUGCAAGUCGAACGGAAAGGCCCUGCUUUUGUGGGGUGCUCGAGUGGCGAACGGGUGAGUAACACGUGAGUAACCUGCCCUUGACUUUGGGAUAACUUCAGGAAACUGGGGCUAAUACCGGAUAGGAGCUCCUGCUGCAUGGUGGGGGUUGGAAGGUUUCGGCGGUUGGGGAUGGACUCGCGGCUUAUCAGCUUGUUGGUGGGGUAGUGGCUUACCAAGGCUUUGACGGGUAGCCGGCCUGAGAGGGUGACCGGCCACAUUGGGACUGAGAUACGGCCCAGACUCCUACGGGAGGCAGCAGUGGGGAAUAUUGCACAAUGGGCGGAAGCCUGAUGCAGCAACGCCGCGUGCGGGAUGACGGCCUUCGGGUUGUAAACCGCUUUCGCCUGCGACGAAGCGUGAGUGACGGUAAUGGGUAAAGAAGCACCGGCUAACUACGUG